rnacentral:rRNA from 1 species
GAUGAACGCUGGCGGCGUGCCUAAUACAUGCAAGUCGAGCGAACGGACGAGAAUCUUGCUUCUCUGAUGUUAGCGGCGGACGGGUGAGUAACACGUGUAUAACCUACCUAUAAGACUGGGAUAACUUCGGGAAACCGGAGCUAAUACCGGAUGAUAUUUUUAACCUCAUUGUUCAAAAGUUAAAUUCCGUCUUUCUGUCACUUAUAGAUUGAUCCGCGCUGCAUUAGCUAGUUGGUAAGGUAACGGCUUACCAAGGCAACGAUGCAUAGCCGACAUGAGAGGGGGAUAGGCAAAACGGGAAGGGAGAAACGGACAAGAAAACUACGGGAGGAAGCAGUAGGGAAUAUUACGCAAUGGGAGAAAGCAUGACGGAGAAAAGCGGAGUGAGUGAUGAAGGUCAUCGGAUCGUAAAACACUGUAAUUAGGGAAGAAAAAAUGUGUAAGUAAAUGUGAACAUAUUGACGGUAACUAAUCAGAAAGCAACGGAUAACUACGUG